rnacentral:misc_RNA from 1 species
GAUGAAGAACGUAGCGAAAUGCGAUAAGUAGUGUGAAUUGCAGAAUUCCGUGAAUCAUCGAAUCUUUGAACGCACAUUGCGCCUUCUGGUAUUCCGGAAGGCAUGCCUGUUCGAGAGUCAUUAACAACCGUUUCGAUCCCUUUCUUUCAGAAAUUACAAAGAGGAAAAGGGUUUGGUUAUGGUGGAGGAGGGAAAGGGAGCGUUUAGCCUGUAAAAAAAGAGGCUGCGUUCCGCCUCCCCCCCAAAAUUGUACAGGCGGUCGUGUGCGCCCACGCAUCGAGGUGUUGUAAAAGCUGCCACGGCACUUUUCACCUGUGCAGUGCGAGAUUGGCCAGCCGGUUUAAAAACCCCUCCAAACAAUCAAAGGUUGACCUCGGAUCAGGUAGGGAUACCCGCUGAACUUAAGCAUAUCAAUAGCGGAGGA